CAGGACCAGAACAGAAACGCAUGCCUGUAAUAAGUGAGACAUUAGCAGCCUACAAACAUUGAUAUUGUGAGAAAAGAGUGUCACAGCUCUUAAUAACCUAUAGGUAAUCAACACAACAGGACAACAAUACAAGAAUCUAUCUGUGGAUUCCCGUUGGUACGGAAUCUACUGGAACCUGAUGAGUUCAACUGUGAUUUUGGCUUAUAACUCAGGAUUAAUGAUAA
rnacentral:lncRNA from 1 species